GGGAAGGAUCACUAUUUUUUUUAAAGGCAGUUCUCGGGACAGGAGGAUGGACUGCAUUCCGAUGUUGGCUCCCAGGUCCCAAGGUGUACAGCUCCCAGGCAGGUUAAAAUCCUGAGUGAAAUUAGUGGACCGAAGGAUAUGAACUUUUGCAAGGCUGUUGCCAAGCUGUUUGCCAGUCUUCAUUUCUACCUGCCGAGUAUUAGAAAUCAUUACGCGCCCCUUUCCCAUCUUAGCAUUGACUGCUAUAAAAAAAAUUUCAAC